rnacentral:rRNA from 1 species
CGUUAGCGGCGGACGGGUGAGUAACACGUGGGUAACCUACCUAUAAGACUGGGAUAACUUCGGGAAACCGGAGCUAAUACCGGAUAAUAUCUCGAACCGCAUGGUUCGAUAGUGAAAGAUGGUUUUGCUAUCACUUAUAGAUGGACCUGCGCCGUAUUAGCUAGUUGGUAAGGUAACGGCUUACCAAGGCGACGAUACGUAGCCGACCUGAGAGGGUGAUCGGCCACACUGGAACUGAGACACGGUCCAGACUCCUACGGGAGGCAGCAGCU